AAUAUUUAUGUGCAAUUCUAAAUUCUAUACCAACUAUUAACAUUAAAUUUUCUAUUAAAAUAACUUAAUUUUAUAUUUUUAAUACUUUACAAUACAAAUCAAUUCUCUACUGCGUAAAAAUUGUAUGACAAAUUACAUUGUAUCUCAUUUACGUCGGAAUAGAAAAACGACACAUCUUAGAAACGUAAUCCAACCAAACCAUAAUCAUUUCUUCGCGAGAAAUAGCCUUACGAGGGAGGGAAAUUUCGGGUCUUCAAUCAGAUAGAAAUUAGCGAGCGGAUCUUCUUACGGCGUUUAAUGUCAAACUGGGCAGCCAGUGGCGCCAUGUGGUCCAAGUCGAGUGGGCUCAUCGUAAUACCGGGCAACAAUGCGGAACGGCAUAAUGUUGAACCCUGGAGGACCUAUCCACCUAACCCUAUGUAUACGGCAUACUAUUACCAUCCCCUGGGAACGGCCAUCCAUCUCCAUCGGAUCCCUCUCAGCCCGGAAUCGCUGUCUGAUACGCUCGAUCCGUUUUACACGGGGCCACGUACUCGAGGCAACGGGCUGUCGGACCCCUGUGCGUGCAUCCCUUUGACUACGUAUACGUGACUAUCGAUAACAGGCGGCCAUAGGUGUGCACGUUAAGCCUGUCGAAGAGAUACACGAUCCCCGGGAUGCUCGAUAUACAAACUAUUAACCCCGUCGAUGCUCGAAAAAUAAAUGCUACGUCCGCUUUGAGCGCGUGAUCGGAUUGCAAAUUGUCUCCAGUGAUGAAUAUGAAGUCUUGUCGGAGGGAGAGAAGAAUUCGCUGAAAUAUUUUCUAGUUCCUUUUUGGUCGAAGAGUUUUUUUAAAUAUAUGCGUAAUUUUUGAAUGAUUUUUCUUUCGUUCGUUGUUAAAAAAGUAUCGCAAGGAUUUUUAACUAUCUUUGUGUCGUUAUAGUGUGAAAUGGAUUGAAGAUCGACACGUGUCUUCCCGGUUGAACGUCUCGUGUCCCGGCUUUUUAUUCUUCACUAUCAAUUCCUGUCGAAUGGCCGUAACGUGGUAAAGAGUGAAGAGGCUUCGCACAGAUAACCAAUUAUUCGUAGAGGGGGGCGUAGACCGCGACAGAUGCGUCUCGACGUGAUGCAACGACCAUAAUCGUCAGAUUAAAAUCCAACUUCACGGAUCGAUUAAAUGCAAUUAAGAAGAUCGCGCAUGAUCCAGAUUGCAUGGAAAAUUCGCGCCAAUUCCCAUUGGGCCACACUUGAAUUUUGCGUGCAAUGGGUCAACUGUUCCUCUUCUAUACUCGAUAGAUAAAUGUGUUUUUUUAAUCGAAGGAUUUGCUACUUCCAUUCACAGGACAGCGUUCAAUGGACAUAAUAUAAAACUUGCAAGUUGUUGAACGACAAAACGAGAAUAAAUAAAAAUUCAGAAACGGAAAGAUUGACAAUCCUAGUAAAAUUCAAUUUUUAAGAGAUUGAUCAUUUAAAUUAUCAAUCACUAACUCAUCAAUCUACAAAAUCUCUCUCUCUCUCUCUCUCUCGAUCUUCGAAAACAAAACCCAUCAAACCACACUAUCCAUUCUUCAUCCAAUUUCCUUCAUCUUCCAAUUCCAACCACCCAUUAGACCCAAUCUCACCAGUCUCCGUCCUUCACUGGAUCCUUCCAUCUCUCGCAGAGAGUUAAUUCAUCGAAUCAUUCGUAGCCGCGAUCUUCGUACGCGAUAACAGGCAGCACAUGUUUCCGGUAACUCGAUGAGCCAAACAAUGCCGGCCAGCGAAAGAAUAGAGAGAUGCGUAAAUAAAUGUAUGAUGUGGUUCUGAAGGGUGAAUGCCGUGGAGGGUGAUGUAUCCCCCCGUGUUGCAUGGGCGGUGCGGAGGCUCGGUAGGGUGUGAACGCAAAUCAAUUUGCGAGAGGAACCCCGCUGGCAGGGCAGCAGCACGCAGCCACCCUUCGGUGCCCUUCGUGUACCACCGCCUCGGGACAAGAUAGUUCCAGGACUGUGGCGUCCUUUCGUCGCGCCGUUGGGAUCGAGCCGCCUCCUUGUGAGUGACGUUAGUUAAAAUCGCGCUAACAGACCGGGAAUCGAUCGAGAGAUGGCCUCGAGCCAUUACACUAACGUGUAUCUUUUUCUAAUCUGAUGACAGUCCACGUGGGAACCGUAGAAAGAUUCGAGUUCAUUUGCGAGUUUCAUUCCUUUGAAAUUAUUAAAAACAGUUUCUUCUUCUCUUAAUUCAAAAGGAAUGAUAGUAGAAAUGUUAGAUUGUAGAAAAUUAAGAAAAUUUUGAACUGUAAAAGAUUUUCAAGCAACGAGUGAAAGAUCAUGGGAAGAAUCUUUUUUAUUUUAUCCCGAUACGAUUCCCGAGAUAUAUAAAGAAAAGCAUAAUUUUUUAAUCGUUUAUCUUUGUUUUUUUGGAUUCUUCAAAUGCCAGACGUAAUUCGUAGGAAAAAAGGAGAUUUCUGGAAGAACGAAGUAAUCAUUUCCAGAGAAAAAAAUGUGGAUCAUUGGCCUAUUCAUAUAGAAACUUUGAAUCGUUAUAUCUUGACAACCGAUUAAGAUAUCAAGGUGAAUCGAAAAAUGAUUUCAAUGGUAUAGUGUCUUCUCUCUGUUCUGAGUGGGUUUUGAUGGAUUUCGCAUGAAAAUUUCAAGUUUCAUUUGUGACUUUACAAUGAUCUAUCUAUUCUAAUGUAAAUUUAUUUAAUAUCCACCUGAUGUAAAAAGAAAAACAAAACAGAAAGUAGUUGACCGAGGAAGCAAGUUUUAAAAAAA
rnacentral:lncRNA from 1 species